UCAUACAAUAGAGGUGCUCGGGCUGUCGCUAACCUUUGUGCACGCCCUUGUCACUCUCUCGUAUCCAUCUCUCACCCCUUUGUGCAUUGCCGCGUGGGUCUCCCUUUGAUUAAUAAGGGGACUUGCGUUUUUACAUACACACCCUUUGAAUGCAUGUGUAGAACGUCUUAUUUAUUAUCAAUA
rnacentral:misc_RNA from 1 species